AUGAAAUCAACAUUUAAUAAAUAAACACAAUAAAAUUAUUUUCCUAUAAGUAUUUAAUUUCAGUAAAACAUAAAAACUAAGAAAUUAUUAACCAACAAAUAAUAGCUCAUCAACAACAUGAAGUAGAUGUAGAUUAAGGGGCAUAACUCUUCAAAAUCAGCUUCAUUUGUCUAAAUCAUAUAUCUAAUUAUUAUGUAAGCUUCUAUGUAAUGCAGACUACAGAGUUAUGUCCCUUUACCAACUUCUACAUUCACAAACUAAAAUAUAGUCUAAGAUCAUUCCUUGCUUUCUUAAAUAAACAAAUAACAAUAACAAAGGAGAAGUUCUUAUAAAGUCUUUUUUUGGCCCCUCGAAAUUAGAAAAAAAAUAUUCUUAAUGAAUUAGAUUCGUAAUCUGUUGUAUAUCAGUAUAUCUUUGGUAUGUGUCUUAUUAAGGGGUUCACACAUCUUUCAUUUAAUGCAAAAAAACUUUAAAUCUUCAAAAUAGGUUCUCUUCUUUAGUUCCUGUCUAAAUAUUCAGAUUUACAAAAUACAUAUAUUUUGCUACAUGAUUUCUUUAACAAAGAUAUUAAUAUUGGAUACACCAAUAUUU
rnacentral:lncRNA from 1 species